rnacentral:rRNA from 1 species
AUUGAACGCUGGCGGCAGGCUUAACACAUGCAAGUCGAACGAGUGGCGGACGGGUGAGUAAUGCUUGGGAAUCUGGCUUAUGGAGGGGGAUAACGACGGGAAACUGUCGCUAAUACCGCGUACCAUAGGAUGAGCCCAAGGGGGAUUAGGUAGUUGGUGGGGUAAUGGCCUACCAAGCGGACGAUCGCUAGCUGGUCUGAGAGGAUGACGAGCCGCACGGGGGCUGAGGGACGCCGCGAACUCCGACGGGAGGCACAGGUGGGGAACAUUGGGAAGUGGGGGCAAGCGUGACGCACCCAAGCGGCGUGACUGAGGAGGGCCAGCGGGGUGUAAAGUACUUUAGUUUUAGAGGCGUUAAAUAAAGAAGAAGCACCGGCUAACUCCGUGCCAGCAGCCGCGGUAAUAC